UACGUAGGGUGCAAGCGUUGCCCGGAAUUAUUGGGCGUAAAGAGCUCGUAGGCGGUCUGUCGCGUCGGAUGUGAAAACUCGGGGCUCAACCCCGAGCCUGCAUUCGAUACGGGCAGACUAGAGUUCGGUAGGGGAGACUGGAAUUCCUGGUGUAGCGGUGAAAUGCGCAGAUAUCAGGAGGAACACCGGUGGCGAAGGCGGGUCUCUGGGCCGAUACUGACGCUGAGGAGCGAAAGCGUGGGGAGCGAACAGG
rnacentral:rRNA from 1 species